UUCUGAAGAGGGUUGACAUACACUGUGAGACUGAACUUUCUGCAUAGUACAUACAACGGUGAAGAGGUUGUCAAAGCACCAGCAACUUUUACAAAGGCCCAGGGAUUGUAAGCAAUCGAUGGUGAGUUGUGUGAAGUGGAGGGCCUCGUCGAACGUGGAGGCCUUCAGGAGGCAAUCGUCGAGGGGUUUGGAUGCCUAAGGAUUGAAGAGUUGCCCUUGAGUCCUUCAUUGAGUGAAGCACCUCAUUCGUGGAGGAAGCAAAGAGUUUAUCACCAUCAAAAGGGAGAUCCUCUAUGGUGCUCUGAACCUCACGGGGAA